AUUGAACGCUGGCGGCAGGCCUAACACAUGCAAGUCGAGCGGAUGAAGGGAGCUUGCUCCUGGAUUCAGCGGCGGACGGGUGAGUAAUGCCUAGGAAUCUGCCUGGUAGUGGGGGAUAACGUCCGGAAACGGGCGCUAAUACCGCAUACGUCCUGAGGGAGAAAGUGGGGGAUCUUCGGACCUCACGCUAUCAGAUGAGCCUAGGUCGGAUUAGCUAGUUGGUGGGGUAAAGGCCUACCAAGGCGACGAUCCGUAACUGGUCUGAGAGGAUGAUCAGUCACACUGGAACUGAGACACGGUCCAGACUCCUACGGGAGGCAGCAGUGGGGAAUAUUGGACAAAGGGCGAAAGCCUGAUCCAGCCAUGCCGCGUGUGUGAAGAAGGUCUUCGGAUUGUAAAGCACUUUAAGUUGGGAGGAAGGGCAGUAAGUUAAUACCUUGCUGUUUAGACGUUACCAACAGAAUAAGCACCGGCUAACUUCGUG
rnacentral:rRNA from 1 species